ensembl:antisense Gm10612 predicted gene 10612
GUUCCCUUGCGCUCGCCUGCAGGGUAGUCACAUCUGGGUCUGUGAACAAGAGCAUUCUCCCUGGUGUCUUUGAAUCCCACACCUGGCCAAAGCCCAAAAUAACACAUGUUGUUGUGGGGAAGUUGGGCCACAUAUACCUGGGCACCAUCGUUUGAGUCCUAAAAGGGUGCCGUGGGCCCAGGAUCUGGACGUGAAUCUGACUGCCACAGCACAAGCACCGUGGGCUCAGGCAGGAUCCAAAGGCUGCCUAGAGUGUGGCCAUGUGCCUGUGAGCUGGGAUGGAGCCACCUGCUUGCAUCUCUGAGUCCUUGAGGUUCUUGGAGUGAGCCUCUUACCUGGGCUUCCAUUCUGAAGACCCCGGGGUCCCGAGAGGAGUGCCCCACUCUCCAGAGUGGUGGUGGAUGCCUGGGACAUGGAGCUGCAGAUGGAGCCGGAGAUUGAUGGUACCUGGGGCUGGAGGGAGCUGGCCGGCCUCCAGAGCCCACCCUGAAGCACCUUUUCUGAUUUCGUGGGGUCUGGAGAGAACAGGAGGGCUGGAGGAGCUUUGGCGUCUCAGAGCCCGUGCCUCUGUUCCUUGGAGGCUCCAGGCCUUUCUAGUCACUACAGCCGGCAGAGCUGGGUUGUGGCCCUGGACGGAGGGUGGGAGACUGCAGGGCCUCAUGUGACACGGGGCGGGCUUGGGGACAGCAUGGGGGAGGUCCUCCUGCAGCCUUCAGGGGUGAGGCAGCCAGCUGUGUCACAGUGAUAAUGCGGUGGGGGUCGGGGGCCUGCAGCUGUGCCCAGAGCUUCCUCGUCAGGAACCAUCUGCCUGGUUGCCGGUUCUCCCUCCACCAUGCCAUUCCGGUCUGACUUCCCAACAACUUCCUCCUAUCCCGCCUGUAGCCCUGAGACCUCCCACUGGGCCCAAUCUGGUGUGGCUCAUGGAGUGUGUUUCCUCCACCCUGGAGUAAUGUCCAUCCUGGCCAGAGCCUCUGGCUCAUCUGUCUAUCUUCCCAUGGGGCAUAGCCCUUCCUGUGGCCUGGGAGGUCCAGAGACUCCACCCACUUUUGCCUGCCUUCAGCCACACUUUGCCCAAGACCAAGAAACCCUUUCUAUUUGCCCUCCAAUGAACGACCUAUUGGGGGUGCUGGCAGAGUCAGGAGUGAGCAUGGUCAGGACUCUGACCAGCCUCCUGCCCACCCAUGGCUCAGGUGGUCUCUCCAUCACCAUCAGUGGUUCUCUGGUCACCUCUUGCCUGGAAGAAUCUCCAUUGUCAUGUUGUGCCUGGCCUCAGAUAGGAUCAGGGUCACAGUCUAGUCUCCCAGCUGUGGAAACCCCAUCCUAUAUUACCUUCUUUAAAGGAAGCUUGAGCCAAACAGGCCACACAUAGGCAGUUGGCCUCUCUGCCUGGUGACCUGGAGCUUGCUAGAAAGGCUGUCUACUUGGGAGAAACUCCAGGCCCCUUUCCAAGUGAAUCCCAGUAGAAAUAAUGCUAUUAUAGCUUCAGGUUCCAGAGAAAGCCACUUACUAAACGGUGAUGAAACUAUAGGGUGGUUUCAUGGGAAGGAAUAAUGUUCUCUUAAACCUGGUAAGGGUUCCCAGACAUGGUCCUAGGAUGCUAAUAGGGCCACUAUGCUUUGCUUUGAUUUAACGUUUAGCUUGUUCAUGUAGAUAGUUGGCUACUAAAAACCCCUUGUUUCAUG